UUGGUUUUCAAAAUGGAACAAACCAAAUAAACAGAACCACCCACAACCCCCUCAAGCCGUCUUCAAUUAUCGAUAUAGUGACAAUAGCUGUACUGGUGGUACUACCAUGGAAAAAAUUGUAGAGAAAUUGAAGAAACAUGGGUACAUAGAUGGUGAUGCUGAGGAAAAGAAAGAGAAAAGCCAGAGAGAAUGAUAGAAAAAGGGAGUUUAGAGGAUAUAUUCUAUGUGGAAGGAGAAAUCUUGCCAAAUUCACGAGGUGGGUAUUCCAGCAAAUCGCCGUUAGGAGUAGAGGAUCUGUCUAACAUUAAUGGAGAGGUGAGGUUUCCGUGGGAGAAA
rnacentral:misc_RNA from 1 species